CCUACGGGUGGCUGCAGUGGGGAAUAUUGCACAAUGGGGGAAACCCUGAUGCAGCGACGCCGCGUGAAGGAAGAAGUAUUUCGGUAUGUAAACUUCUAUCAGCAGGGAAGAAAAUGACGGUACCUGACUAAGAAGCCCCGGCUAACUACGUGCCAGCAGCCGCGGUAAUACGUAGGGGGCAAGCGUUAUCCGGAUUUACUGGGUGUAAGGGGAGCGUAGGCGGUUCAGCAAGUCAGAAGUGAAAGCCCGGGGCUCAACUCCGGGACUGCUUUUGAAACUGUUGAACUAAAUUGCAGGAGAGGUAAGUGGAAUUCCUAGUGUAGCGGUGAAAUGCGUAGAUAUUAGGAGGAACACCAGUGGCGAAGGCGGUCUGCUGGACAGCAACUGACGCUGAGGCGCGAAAGCGUGGGGAGCAAACAGGAUUAGAUACCCUAGUAGUC
rnacentral:rRNA from 1 species